rnacentral:lncRNA from 1 species
GUGUGGAAUGGUUGAUGUACCUUAAAUUAGAAUUGCUCUGCCCUGAGACUUCUUCCUGUUCUGGGAAAUGUUGCAUUGUUCUUGUUGACUGAAUGAGUUAAGGCAGGAUGUUUCUGUUCCUGGGAUCCCAGUUUAAACUAGGCAGAAAUCUGCACAAAGAACAAAUCCAGGUACAGUCAUGUUGGCCAGGCUGAGCCUGCCAUGGGAGCUCAUAGCAAAAGCAUGCAAGAGCCCUGAUUUAUUGCCUUCAUCUCAGACCUAAAAUAAGCAGUAUGAAUUGACAAUUGUCCUUUGAAAAAGUCCCACCGAGAGCAGACUUUCAUUAUGAAGGCAGUACCCCUACAAAAGGAAGAUGGAGGGCAAGACUGAGACGUUUGCUUGCGGGCAUUCUGUUGGGCAGCCGAACCUGUCUCCCCUCGCUGGGGCAGCAGCGAUCUUCACUAUCAGUGCAAAUGAAAAUCAUAGGAGUAAAGAUGAAUUGCAGCCACAUUCUUUGAAGAAAUAUAAUUUGGAAUCUAUAAUCGUCACUGCCAUGCAGAAGGAACAGGUCCAAAACAGAACAGCGCUUCUGAGUGUGCCAUCUUCCUCCGGAUUACAAGGACUGGCUUUCCUUAUCUUCAAUAAGUCUUUAAAUGUCUAUUCCUGAAGCAGGACAGAGGAUAUUACUUGAAUGAUCUGGAGCAAAUCCAUAAUUUUUCUUGAAAGAGCGCACCCUGUGGGAAACUCAUUGAAUCCUCCUUGCAUCUGAGCGACAUUUCUUUUCAAUCAAGUGUGUUCCAAUAAAGGAGUUAGGUAUUGUUUGGGGACUUGAUUUUAUUCACAAGGAAUGAGACAGAAUACAAGCCAUUAUAUAGCAACAGAGUGGGUUGCUUCAUCAAACCCAGGAGAAUUGAGUUGGGCCUGUUCCUCAACUGUCCUAAGUCGCUGAAACUGACUCUGAGAUGGAGAUUUGCAUGCAGGAGGUUUGUUGAGGACAAAUCUUGGGAGCAAUGCCUGCUGGGGAGGGUUUAGAUGGGAUGAGCACCUGCAGCAAUUAAACAGCAAUGCAAUUGCUUCCGAGGCCUCAGCCCAUUCCACCAGAGCUCUCAACAGAGAAUGAUUCCACAGAGACAAGUCUUGAAUGGAGACUUUGCAGCCCUGCAUCCGCCUGUCCUUCAAGGAUGUUCAGCGAUGACACAAAGUGUCAGUUUCAUUAAUUCAAGCUGCACCUCUCUGGCAGACACUCUACUCCUGGGAAAGUCAGAAAUAGUCUCACAUUCAGGGAGCCUCCAGUCUCCAGAUGACACUUCACUGGAAUCUGAAGGGUGAAGAGGUGGAUUCUGGACCUGGUGUUCUGAGAGGAGUGGUGGGGCCAAAUACAUGAAGAAGAGAAAGCUUCCAGAGGGUCAAGAAGCUGUUGUGAGCAUGGCCAGUUUCUUGCUCAGCCAUCCUCACCCCUGGAUCACCGCUUUGGAAGGGAAGUCCCCAGCUCCGGUGUGUUCUGAGGCUGCUGGGGGCCAGUGCAGCUCUGCGGUGGCAUCAGAGGCAGGAGCUCUCCCAGCCCUUGCAGUGACCUGGUGGGAACCGAAACCGCUGAAUAAAACCUUUCCUGCUUUAGAAUGGGUGUUCUUUUCUGCACUGAACCGUGGCUAAGAGAGAAUUUGUUUGAUGUGGGUGAUAAAUAAACUUCCAUUUUAUUUGGGCCACUGUUAUUUUCAGCUUUCUGUCACUUGAAGCCAAAUAUAAUUCUAAUUCAUAAGUCAACAGAUCUCUAACCUGGAAAAUGAUUUUGCAAAUCUAGAAGAUGAAUUUUGCAAAGGAGACCUUUAAUUUUCUUUACAUGGGCUCUCUUUUUUUAAUCCAAGUAUAUAGGUGGAAGUUCAAUUCAAUGGCUUCAGUAGAAUAUUUGUGACUUGCUAAUAAUUUAACUUUGCAUAACUUCACAGGCAACCUUGAAAAUGGCCCAUACAAAAACUCUCAUUUUUUCUUAAUUUAGAUUUAUCCAACACAAUUUUUGAUUAUGUUUCUAUAAUCCCUAAUAUGCUUAACUCAGAAUUAACCAAAGUUUUUCAAACUGUAUUGACUCUAAAAACUAUUCUGGAAUAGAAUUUUUAAAAGCAUUUUCCAUUUGAGUCUAUGCCAGGGUUAUUGUAAUUUUCAUCUAAAUAUCUCAACAUUCUGUCCUCUAUAUGAUUUUUCAAACAAAUUUACAUAGCUGCUUGAAUCAGAUAACUAAGAGAAUUAUGAGCAUGUGGGUAAUUGAACAUUUUGAGCUUUGACCUGCUAGUUUGCUUUUUUGCUUGCUAUAGACUGAACUUCCAAAUUCUGGCUAAACAUCGUAUUAUUGUGUGAUGUAAGUCAAAAGGCAAAUCCAGGCAAAAUCCGGAAUAAGCAAAUAGGUCUCAUCUGCUGGAAGGCCACAGGGCGUGGGCUCUUCUCACAGUGGAAGAAUGGAGAAGCUCAUUUGGAUGAACAAUAUACAAACUAUUAUAUGCCUAGAAUUUAAGUGCUUGACCACUCAGGGCAGGGAUAUCAUUGGGAGACUGUGCUUGCUUAAAGGACCUUUUAAUUUUUUUUCUGUAUGUAUAAAUCUACUAAACUUAAUAUUCUGUCUAAUCUUAAUAUUCAUUUCAGAAACUUGAGGAGAAAUGGAAUUCUUUUUUGUUGUUGUUGUUUUUAUUCCAAUUUCUUUCAAUAUUCUGUAAUUUAGAACUGGGUUGGUCAUGAGGAAACUCCAGAUGGGUGAAUACUGAAAUAACAUUAAACCUGUUGGAUAUUUGUCAUUUACUCAUUAAAGUUAGAAUUCGCAGAGGAGAAAAUUGUGUGCCAGUUGGGG